CCCCCACCCCCACCAGCCUCCAUCGCCAGCUUCGCUCGCCGCCGCCACCGCCUCUUCUUGUCGUCAUGGAAACGGGAUCCAGGCGCCCAGCCAAGGCUGGCUGCGGCGGCCGGAAACGGGGGGGCGCUGCUCCGCGUCCCCACUCCGAGCGACCUCUGCCCUCCCGGGGUCCUCCCCGCCAGGAGGCAGGGCAAAGAUCCCCUCCCAAGGAAAACCCUUAAAUUUACCAGGGGAGCGGGCGUUUUGAGUUUCACCGACUCGUCUUUCUCUCUUUGUGCCCUAACCUACCCCUACCUCACACCUGGGGGCACAGUGAGGCCCCCGCCAGCGCGGGCCUGGGGCUGGGCUUGCGGCUGGAGGAACGUGCGUGUGAAAAGCUGAGUGCAGACAGCUCACGGUCCGAUGGGCGGCAGUUUUGAGAAGAAAGGCUUCGUCCCCCUGCAGAACCGGCCAGCGAGUCCCGGGCGGCCGGAGCCGGGGACUCUGGCGGCGGGCCAAAGUUUGGGCUCGGUCGGAACCUCGGGGUUGUCCCUGAGCCACUGUGUGACCUUGGCCCAAACACUUCUGUCUCCGAACUGUGUGUCGGGAAUCAGGGGCCACACACUGCUGGGAGCAGCCUCGCCGCGCGGUUGGGAGGGCGCGGGCAGUCGCUGGACUUCAGAGGCCCGGGCCCGGUUCCCGGCCUUCCGCCCUGCGAGCCUGAGCGGGACCCUGGCUGCCGACCUGCCCCUCUGCACCCUCUGCCGUGCGUCCAUCCGUCCACCUACCCCAGGGCUGCUCUCGGCCACUUUCAGGACUGCCAGGUGUCAGCUCCGUGCCGUUCACCCCUACCCUGCCCCACGGGAGCUGGGAGAAGCCUUCCCACCACUCCAGACUCCGGAGAGACCUCCAGGGAUGAAAUGAGCCAGGCUUCUCACUGUGGCGCUGCAGGCCCGGCCCGGGCAUCCUCUGGCCUUUGUGACUGCCCUGUCUCACACCUGGUCUCUCCAGUGUCACCCCCAGAAAUGUCUCCAGAGGGUGUCGAUGUCCCAGGUUAAGAGCCAUUUAAGCCUUCUCUCUGAAUGACAAUCAUGGUGCUCCAGCUGUGUCCCGGCUGCACGUUCUCUGAGGGUUUUCCUCCUCUGAUAGAGAAUGAAUUAGCUCCUGUGGCCCUCACCCCGGCCUCCAUUCCUCCUUACAGAAGUAUUUUUACUUCUAUUGGCUCAUUUGGUGACAUUAAGUGAGACACGAUGACAUCAUGGCUUCUUGUUUCGGUGACUAAAGACAGCAUAUCUUUUCUUUAAAAACAAUCUGUAUUGAGAUGGAAUUCACACACCAUGCAAUCCACCCACUUCCAGUGCAUAAUUCAAUGGCUUUUAAUUAGCAGGCAGUUGUGCUGUCAUCUACUUGAGACCAACAUGAGGACAUUUUCAUUUCUUGGAGAGAUACCAGGUCUCAUCAGCUUCACCCGUGACCCUCCAGCUACUUCUGGCCCCAGCUAAACAAUGCACUUUCUGUUCCUGUAGAUUUCUCUAUCCUAGACAUUUCAUGGACAUGAAAGCUCACAGCACAUGGGCCUUUGUGUCUGACUUCUGCUUGGCAUUAUUUUCAAGGUUCCUCCAUAUUGCAGCUGUGUCAGUACCUCAUUCCUUUUUCGUGACUGAGUAAUAUUCCCUUUCUAUGGAUAGACCACAUUUUCUUUAUCAAUCAUCUAUUUUUUUUUUGGUUUAGGGAAUCGGACUCAGGACUUUUCGCUUUUGAGGCAGGAAGCGGAACCACUGAGCUAAAUCCCCAGCCUAUAUCACUCAUCUAUUGAUGGGCAUCUGGCUGGCUUCCACAUUUCAUCUAUUAUGAAUGAUGCUGCUGUGAACAUCUGAGUUUUGCAGAGAUGUUUGUUUUGCUAUCUCCUGGAUGACUAAAGUCACGUGUUAGCCCCUGUGAACACCCUGCAGCAUGGGGAAGGGACUUUCAGAAGGGGCGGUCUCUCUGGACCUCGUCCUACACUGGCUCUUGAACUCACCUUACCCUGCCAAGGCUUCCAAGGUAGCUAAGUCCCUGCCCCCCAGGAAGCCCUCCACCCUCACUGCCACCUGCGGGAGGCAGGAUUUUAAAAUGACCCCCCAAGGCCAGGUGUGGUGGUGCACACCUGUAAUCCCAGCACUGGGAGGUUGAGGCAGGAAGAUCACUGUGAGUGUGAGGCCAACCUGGGCCACAGUGAAUUCAAGAUCAGUGAAUUAUAUCAGUGGACUAUACAGUGAGACCCUAUCUCAAAACACUAAAACUAGGACCAGAGAUGUAGCUCAGUGGAACUGCGCCUGCCUGGCAAGCACAAGGUCCUGAGUUCGAUCCCUGGUACCAAAAAAAU
rnacentral:lncRNA from 1 species